GCUCCUCUAGCUCAGUGGUAGAGCGUGGGAUUGCAGCCACGCAAUUCAUCCUAAGGCCAGUCGUUCGAACCGGCUGGGGAGCU
rnacentral:tRNA from 1 species